UAUGGCUCAGGAUGAACGCUAGCGGCAGGCUUAACACAUGCAAGUCGAGGGGCAGCGGGUCUAGCAAUAGAUGCCGGCGACCGGCGAAAGGGUGAGUAACGCGUGAGCAACGUGCCCGUAUGUGGGGGAUAGUCGAUGGAAACGUCGCGUAAUACCCCGUAACACAUUUGGCCGCAUGGCCUUAUGUUGAAAGAUUUAUUGCAUACGGAUCGGCUCGCGUGCCAUUAGGUAGACGGCGGGGUAACGGCCCACCGUGCCGACGAUGGCUAGGGGUUCUGAGAGGAAGGUCCCCCACAUUGGAACUGAGACACGGUCCAGACUCCUACGGGAGGCAGCAGUGAGGAAUAUUGGACAAUGGCCGGAAGGCUGAUCCAGCCAUGCCGCGUGCGGGAAAGACGGCCCUAUGGGUUGUAAACCGCUUUUGCGGGGGAGCAAUAAGAGUCACGUGUGGCUCGAUGAGAGUACCCUGCGAAUAAGCAUCGGCUAACUCCGUGCCAGCAGCCGC
rnacentral:rRNA from 1 species